AGCCGAGGCCGAAAGGCGUAGGCGAUGGACAACAGGUUGAUAUUCCUGUACCACCUCCUCACCAUUUGAGCAAUGGGGGGACGCAGGAGGAUAGGGUAAGCGCGGUAUUGGAUAUCCGCGUCCAAGCAGUUAGGCUGGGAAAUAGGCAAAUCCGUUUCCCAUAAGGCUGAGCUGUGAUGGCGAGCGAAAUAUAGUAGCGAAGUUCCUGAUUCCACACUGCCAAGAAAAGCCUCUAGCGAGGUGAGAGGUGCCCGUACCGCAAACCGACACAGGUAGGCGAGGAGUGAAUCCUAAGGUGAUCGAGAGAACUCUCGUUAAGGAACUCGGCAAAAUGACCCCGUAACUUCGGGAGAAGGGGUGCUCUGUUAGGGUGCAAGCCCGAGAGAGCCGCAGUGAAUAGGCCCAGGCGACUGUUUAGCAAAAACACAGGUCUCUGCGAAGCCGUAAGGCGAAGUAUAGGGGCUGACGCCUGCCCGGUGCUGGAAGGUUAAGAGGAGCGCUUAGCGUAAGCGAAGGUGCGAAUUGAAGCCCCAGUAAACGGCGGCCGUAACAAUAACGGUCCUAAGGUAGCGAAAUUCCUUGUCGGGUAAGUUCCGACCCGCACGAAAGGCGCAACGAUCUGGGCACUGUCUCAACGAGAGACUCGGUGAAAUUAUAGUACCUGUGAAGAUGCAGGUUACCCGCGACAGGACGGAAAGACCCCGUGGAGCUUUACUGCAGCCUGAUAUUGAAUGUUGGUACAGCUUGUACAGGAUAGGUAGGAGCCUUGGAAACCGGAGCGCCAGCUUCGGUGGAGGCAUCGGUGGGAUACUACCCUGGCUGUAUUGACCUUCUAACCCGCCGCCCUUAUCGGGCGGGGAGACAGUGUCAGGUGGGCAGUUUGACUGGGGCGGUCGCCUCCUAAAAGGUAACGGAGGCGCCCAAAGGUUCCCUCAGAAUGGUUGGAAAUCAUUCGCAGAGUGUAAAGGCACAAGGGAGCUUGACUGCGAGACCUACAAGUCGAGCAGGGACGAAAGUCGGGCUUAGUGAUCCGGUGGUUCCGCAUGGAAGGGCCAUCGCUCAACGGAUAAAAGCUACCCCGGGGAUAACAGGCUUAUCUCCCCCAAGAGUCCACAUCGACGGGGAGGUUUGGCACCUCGAUGUCGGCUCAUCGCAUCCUGGGGCUGUAGUCGGUCCCAAGGGUUGGGCUGUUCGCCCAUUAAAGCGGUACGCGAGCUGGGUUCAGAACGUCGUGAGACAGUUCGGUCCCUAUCCGUCGCGGGCGCAGGAAAUUUGAGAGGAGCUGUCCUUAGUACGAGAGGACCGGGAUGGACGCACCGCUGGUGUACCAGUUGUUCUGCCAAGGGCAUCGCUGGGUAGCUAUGUGCGGACGGGAUAAGUGCUGAAAGCAUCUAAGCAUGAAGCCCCCCUCAAGAUGAGAUUUCCCAUUCCGCAAGGAAGUAAGAUCCCUGAAAGAUGAUCAGGUUGAUAGGUCUGAGGUGGAAGUGUGGCGACACAUGGAGCUGACAGAUACUAAUCGAUCGAGGACUAAAUC
rnacentral:rRNA from 1 species